rnacentral:rRNA from 1 species
GACGUAGGAUGCAAGCGUUGUCCGGAUUUAUUGGGCGUAAAGAGUUCGUAGGCGGUUCGUUAAGUCUGAUGUUAAAGACUGGGGCUCAACCCCGGGAGUGCAUUGGAUACUGGCGGACUGGAGUGUGGUAGAGGCUAGUGGAAUUCCCAGUGUAGCGGUGAAAUGCGUAGAUAUUGGGAAGAACACCAGUGGCGUAGGCGACUAGCUGGGCCAUAACUGACGCUGAGGAACGAAAGCCAGGGGAGCGAAUGGGAUUAGAUACCCCAGUAGUCCUGGCCGUAAACGAUGGAUACUAGGCGUAGUGGGUAUCGACCCCUACUGUGCCGCAGCUAACGCGAUAAGUAUCCCGCCUGAGUAGUACGGCCGCAAGGUUG